rnacentral:rRNA from 1 species
UACGGAGGGGGCUAGCGUUGUUCGGAAUUACUGGGCGUAAAGCGCACGUAGGCGGCUCUUUAAGUCGGAGGUGAAAUCCUGGAGCUCAACUCCAGAACUGCCUUCGAUACUGUAGAGCUUGAGUUCGGGAGAGGUGAGUGGAACUGCGAGUGUAGAGGUGAAAUUCGUAGAUAUUCGCAAGAACACCAGUGGCGAAGGCGGCUCACUGGCCCGAUACUGACGCUGAGGUGCGAAAGCGUGGGGAGCAAACAGG